CUGUACUUAUGAACCUUUUAAAUUAAAUUUUUUUCCAGGGAUUUCUGUCAAUCAAAGAUCAAUAAGCAACCCUCCACCGUUAGUUUAUUUACUUGAUAGACAAUUAGAAAAUAUUUCUCACCCCCAGUCUCCCUGUUUUUUUUUUUUUUAAUUCUUAUUAUCUACUCCACAUUUACUAUAUAGAAACAAAGUAUAACAAACAAACAUAAUGUAUCAAUAAAUGUGAA